CCUACGGGUGGCAGCAGUGGGGAAUAUUGGGCAAUGGACGCAACUCUGACCCAGCAACGCCGCGUGAAGGAAGAAGGCUUUCGGGUUGUAAACUUCUUUUCUGAGGGACGAAGAAAGUGACGGUACCUCAGGAAUAAGCCACGGCUAACUACGUGCCAGCAGCCGCGGUAAUACGUAGGAGGCAAGCGUUAUCCGGAAUUAUUGGGCGUAAAGGGCGCGUAGGCGGGAUAGCAAGUCAGCUGUGAAAACUCAGGGCUCAACCCUGAGACUGCAUUUGAAACUGUUUUUCUUGAGUGCUGGAGAGGCAAUCGGAAUUCCGAGUGUAGCGGUGAAAUGCGUAGAUAUACGGAGGAACACCAGUGGCGAAGGCGGAUUGCUAGACAGUAACUGACGCUGAGGCGCGAAAGCGUGGGGAGCAAACAGGAUUAGAUACCCGAGUAGUC
rnacentral:rRNA from 1 species